rnacentral:lncRNA from 1 species
UUUUUUGUUUCACUGUUUUCUAGUUUAGAAAUCUCAGAACUAACUAAUUUUACAGAACUUUUCUUAAUUUGCUCAUCAUGUUUGCACAAAACAGCCACUGUCUAACACAACUGUUAGAGAAUGUUAAACUGACAUAUGCUCUAUAAAUGGAGUGUUUGUGCAUUAGAUUGGUCUGGGAACUAUCCAUUUCCAUCCUUUUACAAAUACCAUGUAAUGUAUGCAUAUUUAACUGAAGAGAUUUAUAAUCAUAAUUAUUUUAUUGUAAAGAUUUUAACUAAAGGUUUUCCUUUUCUCUUG